GAAGGGGGGAUUUCAUCAGUAUACAUGUGGGAAGAUAAUGAAGACUUUGUGGCUUGCUACCUAAUAACGAAAGAUUGCUCAAAGUCAGGGCAUGGCUGAAGAAGUUAUUUGCAAGAAGGUGCAUGGGAUGCUAUUCAUGUUAUUGAAUACAUAUGGACAAAACUAGACAAAACUCGAGUUCAACUUCCGAAUUUGAAGUGUUGUGGCAUAUUUCUGCAUAUGGUAUUGUUCAAAAGUUAAGAGGACUUUUAAUCAUCACAUGUGGCAUAUUUCUGCAUAUGGUAUUGUCAGAUUUCUUAACUCAGCUCCUUGUUGAAUCUUGCAAAUUUCUAUUACUAAGAAUACUAUACUCAGAAAGUUGUGUUGGUGUUUUUUUUUUUUCCUGGUUGUAUUUAUUAAAUAGGUAUGAGAUGAGUUGCACUAGUAGGAGCCUCACCUACUUUGAAUUGGUUGUGUAUGGAUGCUAUCGAAUUUGGUUGCAAUUAAAAGUAUACUAAAGUGGAAAUAAGCAAAAGUACUUGGCAAUCAUAUUCAAGGACUUGGCUUCUAGUUGCAACUAUGCCACUUUCAAGUCAGAUUGGAAAGGAAUAUGGUUCCAGUUUGAGGCUUACUUCUUCAUUACAAUAAUUAGGGAACACCAUUAGCUUAAUUGUACAUACAAA